CAUUAUAUUUACUUCUCUUAUUCUUUCUCUCACUUCAUUAUUUUUCUCCCUCAUUUCUCUUUCUUAUUCAUAGUGAAAGUGCUUGUUAUUAUUGUCCUAAUUCUUCAUGUACAUCUGAUCCACACAUACGCUAUCAUUCAGUUGGCUCUUAUGAAUAUAACACUAUAAAUGAUAAUUUGAAGUGUCAUUAUUGUGGACUGAUUUUAAUUGAAGAUGUUAAACAAAGAAUAUUAUCAGAUAAGUUAUUAAUAUCACUGGUGCCUACUGAUGUAUUGUAUCCUGUUAGUGGCUCAAGCUAUCAAGGAUUUACUGUUAUACUAAGAGAUGAUUUGUGCUCAGUGGUAGAGAUUGGUGGUG